rnacentral:rRNA from 1 species
GACGUAGGAUGCAAGCGUUGUCCGGAUUUAUUGGGCGUAAAGAGUUCGUAGGCUGUUUGUUAAGUCUGGUGUUAAAGACUGAGGCCCAACCUCGGAAAUGCAUCGGAUACUGGCAGACUUGAGUACGGUAGAGGCGAGUGGAAUUCCCAGUGUAGCGGUGAAAUGCGUAGAUAUCUGGAGGAACACCGGUGGCGAAGGCGACAUCCUGGACCGGUAUUGACGCUGAGGCGCGAAAGCCAGGGGAGCAAACGGG